GAUUCCCCCAGUAGCGGCGAGCGAACGGGGAGGAGCCCAGAGCCUGAAUCAGUGUGUGUGUUAGUGGAAGCGUCUGGAAAGGCGCGCGAUACAGGGUGACAGCCCCGUACACAAAAAUGCACAUGCUGUGAGCUCGAUGAGUAGGGCGGGACACGUGGUAUCCUGUCUGAAUAUGGGGGGACCAUCCUCCAAGGCUAAAUACUCCUGACUGACCGAUAGUGAACCAGUACCGUGAGGGAAAGGCGAAAAGAACCCCGGCGAGGGGAGUGAAAAAGAACCUGAAACCGUGUACGUACAAGCAGUGGGAGCACGCUUAGGCGUGUGACUGCGUACCUUUUGUAUAAUGGGUCAGCGACUUAUAUUCUGUAGCAAGGUUAACCGAAUAGGGGAGCCGAAGGGAAACCGAGUCUUAACUGGGCGUUAAGUUGCAGGGUAUAGACCCGAAACCCGGUGAUCUAGCCAUGGGCAGGUUGAAGGUUGGGUAACACUAACUGGAGGACCGAACCGACUAAUGUUGAAAAAUUAGCGGAUGACUUGUGGCUGGGGGUGAAAGGCCAAUCAAACCGGGAGAUAGCUGGUUCUCCCCGAAAGCUAUUUAGGUAGCGCCUCGUGAAUUCAUCUCCGGGGGUAGAGCACUGUUUCGGCAAGGGGGUCAUCCCGACUUACCAACCCGAUGCAAACUGCGAAUACCGGAGAAUGUUAUCACGGGAGACACACGGCGGGUGCUAACGUCCGUCGUGAAGAGGGAAACAACCCAGACCGCCAGCUAAGGUCCCAAAGUCAUGGUUAAGUGGGAAACGAUGUGGGAAGGCCCAGACAGCCAGGAUGUUGGCUUAGAAGCAGCCAUCAUUUAAAGAAAGCGUAAUAGCUCACUGGUCGAGUCGGCCUGCGCGGAAGAUGUAACGGGGCUAAACCAUGCAC
rnacentral:rRNA from 1 species